CCUACGGGGUGCAGCAGUGAGGAAUAUUGGUCAAUGGACGCAAGUCUGAACCAGCCAUGUCGCGUGCAGGAUGACUGCUCUAUGAGUUGUAAACUGCUUUUAUAAGAGAAUAAUAUCAGAUACGUGUAUCUGCUUGUAAGUAUCGUAUGAAUAAGGAUCGGCUAACUCCGUGCCAGCAGCCGCGGUAAUACGGAGGAUCCAAGCGUUAUCCGGAUUUAUUGGGUUUAAAGGGUGCGUAGGUGGUUUUAUAAGUUAGUGGUGAAAAUUUGGGGCUCAACCGCAGACGUGCAAGUAAUACUGUCUGCCUAGAGUAUAGAUGCGGUAGGCGGAAUGUAUGGUGUAGCGGUGAAAUGCUUAGAGAUCAUACAGAACUCCGAUUGCGAAGGCAGCUUACCAAACUAUCUCUGACGUUGAGGCACGAAAGUGUGGGGAGCAAACAGGAUUAGAUACCCUUGUAGUC
rnacentral:rRNA from 1 species